GUGCCAGCAGCCGCGGUAAUUCCAGCUCCAAUAGCGUAUAUUAAAGUUGUUGCGGUUAAAAAGCUCGUAGUUGGAUCUCAGUUCCGGGCCGACGGUGCGCCUCCGGCGAUUACUGUCGGUCCGAACAGCUAGUUGGCUUGCACGGGGUGCUCUUUACCGAGUGUCCCGCGUGGCCGGCAUGUUUACUUUGAAAAAAUUAGAGUGCUCAAAGCAGGCUAAUGCCUGAACAGUUGUGCAUGGAAUGAUGGAAUAGGACCUCGGUUCUAUUUUGUUGGUUUUCGGAACCCGAGGUAAUGAUUAAUAGAGACGGACGGGGGCAUUCGUAUUGCGACGCUAGAGGUGAAAUUCUUGGACCGUCGCAAGACGAACUACUGCGAAAGCAUUUGCCCAGAACGUUCUCAUUAAUCAA
rnacentral:rRNA from 1 species